rnacentral:misc_RNA from 1 species
CGCACCUUGCGCUCCUUGGUAUUCCGAGGAGCAUGCCUGUUUGAGUGUCAUGGUAUUCUCAAUUCUCUCAGUUUUUGCUGGGAUGAUAUUGGACUUGGAGGUUAUUGCCGGCAUCCUUGUGAAACCGGCUCCUCUUAAAUACAUCAGUGUGAAUAUUCACUUCAUACUCAGUGUGAUAAUUAUCUACGCUGUGCAUGGGUGAUGUGACUUCAUGCUUCAAACCGUCGCAAGACAUUCCUUUGACUUCUGACCUCAAAUCAGGUAGGAUUACCCGCUGAACUUAA